rnacentral:rRNA from 1 species
CCUACGGGUGGCAGCAGUAGGGAAUCUUCCACAAUGGACGCAAGUCUGAUGGAGCAACGCCGCGUGAGUGAAGAAGGUCUUCGGAUCGUAAAACUCUGUUGUUAGAGAAGAACACGAGUGAGAGUAACUGUUCAUUCGAUGACGGUAUCUAACCAGCAAGUCACGGCUAACUACGUGCCAGCAGCCGCGGUAAUACGUAGGUGGCAAGCGUUGUCCGGAUUUAUUGGGCGUAAAGGGAACGCAGGCGGUCUUUUAAGUCUGAUGUGAAAGCCUUCGGCUUAACCGGAGUAGUGCAUUGGAAACUGGAAGACUUGAGUGCAGAAGAGGAGAGUGGAACUCCAUGUGUAGCGGUGAAAUGCGUAGAUAUAUGGAAGAACACCAGUGGCGAAAGCGGCUCUCUGGUCUGUAACUGACGCUGAGGUUCGAAAGCGUGGGUAGCAAACAGGAUUAGAUACCCGGGUAGUC